CUCAUGUGGGGGGCAGCGUCGGCGACAUCGGCGGCAGCUUCAAUGGUGUGAGGUAUCGGUCUCGCUGGCAGCGGUCCCUGCCAGGGUCGGAGGACGACGGCAGCAAAUAGCCUGCAAGAGACGCUCCAGCCAUUUUGAUUUAGUGAGGUUCUCAGAAGUCACGCCGUUUUUUUAGCUACAUAGUUUGGGAGAGAGCGCAUCACUCCUCGCAUUAUGUAGCUUUGUGCUUUACAAUGCAGGAAACAAAUAGAUAAUCAAACAGCUAAUAUCAGACAAUAUCAGGUUCAUGGCUUGCUACUGCAAACUGUCUGAAUGAAUAAAAUUGCUAUACGAACAUUCAAA